AUAUCUGCAGAAUUUCGCCCUUAGAGUUUGAUCCUGGCUCAGGAUGAACGCUGGCGGCGUGCCUAACACAUGCAAGUCGAACGGAGUUCUUAAGGAAUGCGACUUCGGUCAAAUGACUUUUGAACUUAGUGGCGGACGGGUGAGUAACGCGUGAGCAACCUGCCUUUCAGAGGGGGAUAACAUUUGGAAACAGAUGCUAAUACCGCAUAAGAUUACAGUACCGCAUGAUACAGUGAUCAAAGGAGCAAUCCGCUGAAAGAUGGGCUCGCGUCCGAUUAGAUAGUUGGUGGGGUAACGGCCUACCAAGUCGACGAUCGGUAGCCGGACUGAGAGGUCGAACGGCCACAUUGGGACUGAGACACGGCCCAGACUCCUACGGGAGGCAGCAGUGGGGGAUAUUGCACAAUGGGGGAAACCCUGAUGCAGCGACGCCGCGUGAGGGAAGACGGUCCUCUGGAUUGUAAACCUCUGUCUUCGGGGACGAAACGAGACGGUACCCGAGGAGGAAGCCACGGCUAACUACGUGCCAGCAGCCGCGGUAAUACGUAGGUGGCAAGCGUUGUCCGGAAUUACUGGGUGUAAAGGGAGCGUAGGCGGGCAGGCAAGUCAGGCGUGAAAUAUAUCGGCUCAACCGGUAACGGCGCUUGAAACUGCAGGUCUUGAGUGAAGUAGAGGUUGGCGGAAUUCCUAGUGUAGCGGUGAAAUGCGUAGAUAUUAGGAGGAACACCAGUGGCGAAGGCGGCCAACUGGGCUUUUACUGACGCUGAGGCUCGAAAGUGUGGGGAGCAAACAGGAUUAGAUACCCUGGUAGUCCACACCGUAAACGAUGAUUACUAGGUGUGGGGGGACUGACCCCUUCCGUGCCGGAGUUAACACAAUAAGUAAUCCACCUGGGGAGCACGGCCGCAAGGUUGAAACUCAAAUGAAUUGA
rnacentral:rRNA from 1 species